rnacentral:rRNA from 1 species
UACGUAGGGAGCAAGCGUUGUCCGGAAUCAUUGGGCGUAAAGCGCGCGUAGGUGGCCACAUAAGUCCGUUGUGAAAGUCAAAGGCUCAACCUUUGAAAGCCGAUGGAUACUGUGUGGCUAGAGUACGGAAGAGGCGAGUGGAAUUCCUGGUGUAGCGGUGGAAUGCGCAGAUAUCAGGAGGAACACCGGUGGCGAAGGCGGGUCUCUGGGCCGUAACUGACGCUGAGGAGCGAAAGCGUGGGGAGCGAACAGG